rnacentral:rRNA from 1 species
AGCAGGCGCGAAACCUCCGCAAUGCGCGACAGCGUGACGGGGUCACCCCGAGUGCCAUCCGCUGAGGGUGGCUUUUGCCCGGUGUAAUGAGCCGGGUGAAUAAGGGGAGGGCAAGUCUGGUGUCAGCCGCCGCGGUAAUACCAGCUCCUCGAGUGGUUGGGACGGUUAUUGGGUUUAAAGCGUUCGUAGCCGGCCGAAAAAGUUCUUCGUUAAAUCCAGCGAUCCAAUCGCUGGGCUGCGGGGAAUACUUUUCGGCUUGGGGGCGGGGGAGGUCGGCGGUAGUCUCGGGGUAGGGGCGAAAUCCUAUAAUCCCGAGAGGACCACCAGUGGCGUAGGCGGCCGACUAAAACGCGCCCGACGGUGAGGGACGAAAGCUGGGGGAGCGAACGGGAUUAGAUACCCCGGUAGUCCCAGCUGUAAACGAUGCAGGCUAGGUGUUGGGACGGCUACGAGCCGUCUCAGUGCCGCAGGGUAACCAUUAAGCCUGCCACCUGGGGAGUACGGCCGCAAGGCUGAAACUUAAAGGAAUUGGCGGGGGAGCACCACAAGGGGUGAAGCUUGCGGUUUAAUUGGAGUCAACACCGGGAACCUUACCAGGAGCGACAGUUGGAUGAAGG